UAAGUUACUAAAAAUUUUAAUUUUUAACAUUCAAAAAUAGAGUUUAUAUGAAUGAACAUCUUAAUUUUUCAAUUAAAGACUGGGAGAGUUUGAGUCUGGCUUGAACUUAAUGAAAGACUAAACUUACAUGUAAAAAAAUAUUUCAAAAUUUAAAAUACAGUAGGUAAUAUUAAUUAUCAAUAAAAUUGGAAUUAGUUAAGUCAAAUAGUACUGGUUAACGUCGUGCCAGCUGCCGCGGUUAAACGAAGAGUACAAAUUAAGUAGAAGAUUAAAAUUAAUUAAUAGUAAAUUUUUUUAUACUUUUGACUAAAAAUUAUUUAGGUAAAAUUUAUCUUUUUUUUUAUUAAAGUUCUUUUAAAUUUUAAAGAUUUAAAAAAUUCAACUUAAAGGACCAGGAUUAGAUACCCUGUUACUUUGAAUAAUAUUUAUGUCAGGGUAGUACAAGAAGUGCUUCAAACCCACAGACCUUGGCGGUGUCUUAUCUAAGCAGAGGAGCUUGUCUCAUAAUCGAUAAUCCCCGUUUAAUCUUACCUUUUUUUGUAAAGCUUGUGUACUGCCGUUGUCAGGUUGCUUCUUAAGAGUGCGACCUAAAAAAACAAUUUUUGCACUUCAGGUCAAUGUGCAGCUUAUGAAAAGGAGAGGAUGAGCUACAAUAAAUUUUAUUUAAAACGGAAAAGAAUUGAAAAAUUCUUCAAAGGUGGAUUUGCCAGUAAAAAUUUAAAAGAAAUGAAUUUCGAAAAAAGUAAUUGGACAUGCACACAUCGCCCGUCGCCCUAUCCUUAAGGAUAGGUAAGUCGUAACAAAGUAGAGGUACCGGAAGGUGUCUCUAGAAAGAA
rnacentral:ncRNA from 1 species